GACGUAGGGCGCGAGCGUUGUCCGGAUUUAUUGGGCGUAAAGAGCUCGUAGGCGGCUUGUCGCGUCGACCGUGAAAACUUGGGGCUCAACCCCAAGCCUGCGGUCGAUACGGGCAGGCUAGAGUUCGGUAGGGGAGACUGGAAUUCCUGGUGUAGCGGUGAAAUGCGCAGAUAUCAGGAGGAACACCGGUGGCGAAGGCGGUUCUCUGGGCCUGUACUGACGCUGAGGAACGAAAGCGUGGGGAGCGAACAGG
rnacentral:rRNA from 1 species